rnacentral:piRNA from 1 species
UUUAUUCUUCCAGGCUACAGAU